rfam:Ornithorhynchus anatinus chromosome 4, whole genome shotgun sequence.
AGCAGAGUGGCUCAGUGGACAGAGCAAGGGCUUUGGAGUCAGAGGUCAUGGGUUCAAAUCCCGGCUCUGCCA